ensembl:lncRNA
GUGGGUGGCUAAGGGGCGGUGACGGGAGAAGGUGGGAGGAGUCCCCAGUCCUGUGUGGGUGGCUAAGGGGCGGUGACGGGAGAAGGUGGGAGGAGUCCCCAGUCCUGUGUGGGUGGCUAAGGGGCGGUGACGGGAGAAGGUGGGAGGAGUACCCAGUCCUGUGUGGGUGGCUAAGGGCGGUGACGGGAGAAGGUGGGAGGAGUCCCAAGUCCUGUGUGGGUGGCUAAGGGGCGGUGACGGGAGAAGGUGGGAGGAGUCCCCAGUCCUGUGUGGGUGGCUAGGGGGCGGUGUCGGGAGAAGGUGGGAGGAGUCCCAAGUCCUGUGUGGGUGGCUAAGGGGCGGUGACGGGAGAAGGUGGGAGGAGUCCCCAGUCCUGUGUGGGUGGCUAGGGGGCGGUGUCGGGAGAAGGUGGGAGGAGUCCCAAGUCCUGUGUGGGUGGCUAAGGGGCGGUGACGGGAGAAGGUGGGAGGAGUCCCCAGUCCUGUGUGGGUGGCUAAGAGGAGUCCCCAGUCCUGUGUGGGUGGCUAAGGGGCGGUGACGGGAGAAGGUGGGAGGAGUCCCCAGUCCUGUGUGGGUGGCUAAGGGGUGGUGUCGGGAGAAGGUGGGAGGAGUCCCAAGUCCUGUGUGGGUGGCUAAGGGGCGGUGACGGGAGAAGGUGGGAGGAGUCCCCAGUCCUGUGUGGGUGGCUAUGGGGCGGUGACGGGAGAAGGUGGGAGGAGUCCCCAGUCCUGUCACACAUCAAACCAUCACUCUUUUCAUUAAUGUCUUCUCUUCUCUUUCCUGUUCUUCUCUGUUCUGUCUCUCAGCUUGUGGCCACCAUGUUUGCUUCUUUCUGGCGCAGUCUCUCUUUCUGUCAGGGCAGGGAAAAGGGGUUAUUGUUUUUC